CCCCUCCCUGUGGGAUCACCCAUUGGCUCCUCCUGUAGCAGGAAAGGCAAGGGGCUUCCAAUCCGAAGCAGGCCUUGCCUCAGUAUCAAGGUCUCCUUGUUCUGCUGUUCAGGAAUAUCAGGGACACAGCACCCGUGGAUGCACACCAGGUACUUGUGGACCACACACUGACUGCCAGAGAUUUAUGCCCACAUUUCUGCUGUCUAUGAGGAUGGAGCAAGAUUAUGAACUGGAUCAAGAUUUAAAAGCACUUUUGCUCCCUGUUAUGUGCUUUAUACUUUACUAAAUGGAUGCAAUUGAUUGAACUUACUUGGAGCCCAUCAGAAACUAACAGACGGGAAAGAGUAUUUGCAUCGUCCCAGUAGAUGAAUAAUGCAUUUUUGACAGCUUUAUUUUCAUGUCUGGCCUUCAGUUAUAUCUUUUCUCAAGGAAGAAGGUGCUGCAAGUUGGAUGACCAGUGAUGAUAUUUGCCACAUUGACUUCAAUACAGUGGACUGCUAGGAACGGAAAGGGGACUAACUUUCUACCAGCAUAUCUGUGGAUGAAACUGCAGGAUUCAGAAGUUCAUUAAUUUCUGAAUAUCUUCAAAACUGUCAUGCAGCUAUUUUAUGUUCCGCGUCAUCGGUGUCUGUCUUACUCUGGUUAAAAUUCAGUACUUUACUCCAGCUAUACCAGAUACAUGUUGGCAUUGUGUUGCAAUGCAAGCUAAUGAUAAACUUACAGUAUUUGCUGUGUGUGGUCAGAUUUGGAUCUUUGCGGGGAAUACAGUGAAGCUAUGGUUGUAAAUAACCUCUGUUACCUUUAUAUUUUGUGUUAGGCUUCAAAGAAGAUAGUAUAAACCAGCUUAAAUAAAUGGUAACCCAUUUAAUUACAACAUCCAACACUGAAAUAGAACAAAAUGGAAAGAUGGAGAUAGAUCCAGUUUAAGAGCUGGCUGGAAAAGAUUAUGGGAAACCCUAUGUUUGGUAAAGUUUAUUCAUUUAAUUAGGUUUAGGGAAGGGAGAGGAGGAGGAAUUGUUAUCAGAACUGGAAGCAAUGAUGAAACAGUUGUAUCAAUAAAAACGUUGUAUUAAAAUUGUUAUCUUGAGAUGAAUAUUAUAUGUUUAAUUUAACUUUAUUAUAAUUUCUGAUCGGGUCAUUAGUUAAUUUUUAGAUUUUUAUUUCUGUUAAUUAUAUUUUUAUACUCUACUCUGAAAUUAACUGUGUCAGGAUUCAUUUCAUAGGGCUGGUUCAGGAUGUUUAAACAGGGUUUUGCUCUCUGUGUGCAGAUCACCUCUCUCACAUGAGUAAAGGACAUGCUGAGAUUACAUUGGCACAUCCUUUAAUGAUGUUAGGGCAGGUAUUCUCUUAGUGUGACCCUGUCCUCCUCACGCUCAGUGACUGUUGUUCAUCUGAACCAGCCCAUAAUAAAUUAUUUGAGACAAAGUAAAAUAAAAGAGAAAAAACUUCUAAGAAGCUAGUGCUCUUAUUGUCACUUGGUGGCUGCUUUCAGUAUUUUAGGACACAAUUAGAUAUAUAGUGUAGUAGUGAACUUGAUGUAGUUUUGUUUUAUUGUAGUUUACUUGGAAUGAACUUCCAAGCCAAAAGGCUUAAUUAACAAGGGAAGUUCUCCUUUCAAAUCCCCACUGAAAUGAAUGAGAGCAAUGUAAAGGCAAGACUCUAUGCCCAUACAGUUCUUGCUUGUUUCAAUGAGAUAUGUGCAGGAGAAGAUCUUAAUAUGUACUCAGCAGCAGUAUAAGUCCAAACUAAACUGAGACUCCUCAUGAUAAAAUCCAGGAAUUUCCCUUAUUGUUUUCAGAUUGCUAAUUUAACGUGACCUACAGUUCCUCAUUUUCAAAUUGUUGCUUUCUCAUACUACCAAACAACAGCCUAUUCAACCACUAAAAAUAUGGGCAGUAGACUGGAGCUUGCAAAAAACAAUAAUUCUCAGUACUUUUCAUAAAGGCAUGCGGGACAGGGCCUUCUCUGUUGCUGCCCCCAGACUUUGGAAUACUCUCCCAGUGGCCAUCCGUUCCUCAGACUCCAUCAAAGUUUUUAGAAAGCUUGUUAAAUCUUGGCUUUUUAUCCAGGCCUUUUUACAUGAUUGUUUCUAUUGCUGCUUCUGUGUAUUUUUACCUGCAUACAUUUUUUAUGUUUGUAUUUCAUAUUUUAAAUUAGAUCUGUUUCAUAUUUUUAGCUUAAAUAGUUUUAAUUGUCAUUUUUUUUUAAACUUGGGAUUGUUUUUAAUGAAAGGUGGUAUAUACAUUUAACAAUAAAUAAAAAUAAAAUAA